rnacentral:misc_RNA from 1 species
AAUUCUCAACCUGUCGUACUUUCACAAGUUCGUCAGGCUUGGAUUAUGGGACUUGCUGGUUUUUCCAAAAUCAGCUCUCCUCAAAUGCAUUAGCAUAAUCUCUGCUGACCAUCUUUGGUAUGAUAAUUAUCUAUACUAUUGAGAGUUAGUUUUCCGUCUUGGAAGGAUUUUGCUUCUAAUUGUCUUUGCAGACAACUUGACA